rnacentral:sRNA from 1 species
GGCUCACUCCGGGGAGAUAUCUCGCGGACACGAUCUGCUUCUCGGCUCCAACUUCAAAAA